rnacentral:rRNA from 1 species
UACAGAGGGUGCAAGCGUUAAUCGGAAUUACUGGGCGUAAAGCGUGCGUAGACGGUUACAUAAGUCGGGUGUGAAAGCCCCGGGCUCAACCUGGGAAUUGCAUUCGAGACUGCGUAGCUAGGGUGCGGAAGAGGGAAGCGGAAUUUCCGGUGUAGCGGUGAAAUGCGUAGAUAUCGGAAGGAACACCCGUGGCGAAGGCGGCCAUCUGGACCAGCACUGACGCUGAGGCACGAAAGCGUGGGGAGCAAACAGG